UAACGGCCGCACCACCGCCUCCUCCCCUCACCGCCCUUGCAUAACGCAGCCCGGGCCGGCCCCGCUCCAACUGCGUAUGUAACUGCAGCGCUUCAGCUGAAGGGAAUCGUGUAAUUGCGAGCGUGCUUACAUACGCAGGGCUGGAUUGGUUGUCUGCUGAUGGUAUUCAGCGGUUUGCCAGAGGAGAGCCGUUGUUUAUCUUACUUCCAGUAAAAUAUUUAGGAUGGCAAACAUACAUACAUAUGUAUACAUACAUAUAGACACACAAAAUAUUUCUUUUAGCCACCAAAGCAGAUUCUGGGCUAGUUUAAUUUGUUACCCAGAUGGUUCUUGCUAUCCUACUCAUUCCUGCUGGUGACCAGAAAGCACUUCUUUGUCUCACAUUCCCAUGUUGAAUAUGCCAAUUCUGCCCUUAGUUCAAAGAUUGUUAGGAUUACUUUGGAGAAGGUGCCUUCAACGUGCAUCACCACAGAGAUGCAGUAAGGCUGCAAAACAUCUGUAUUCCCAGGCAGAAGAAUAGCAGAGCUACUUAGAGCAGUUCCAUUACCCAAAAAAGACUGUCUCUAACGUCUGUGGCAUUUGACAGAAUCCCUCAGGUUUGAUCUCACCAGAGAAAGGGAACAAGCAAAACCUUCCGAAGUAGAAGCUGAAGUUUUAGAAGAACAACAGGCUCUGAUUUUCAAGACAAAAGUAGCAGCACACUGAGCCAACACAAGCACUGUCCGCCUGAGAACCAGUAUGAAUCCAAAGAGGAACUUAAGACCAUCAGGUUCUUUUCCAAGAGUCCAUAAGUAGUCAUUAGACAAAACAUAGUUCCAGUCAGCACCGUCCUGUUUUACAUUACAACUGCUUAACUAAAUUUAAAAAGCCUUUAAACCAAUUAAAAUCUCCUGAAUUACCCAGUUCUUA